rnacentral:rRNA from 1 species
UAAUGCAUCGGAACGUAUCCCGUAGUGGGGGAUAACCCGGCGAAAGCCGGGCUAAUACCGCAUAUGCUCUACGGAGGAAAGCGGGGGACCUGUAAGGGCCUCGCGCUAUGGGAGCGGCCGAUGUCCGAUUAGCUAGUUGGUGGGGUAAAGGCUUACCAAGGCAUCGAUCGGUAGCUGGUCUGAGAGGAUGAUCAGCCACACUGGGACUGAGACACAGCCCAG